AUUGCUUCUUGGCCUUUUGGCUAAGAUAAAGUGUAUAUCUGUUCUUACCGGUUUAAUUUCUUCUGCUUGUUAAGGACUUCAGUAAUCUGAUUAAGAUCCUCCCAUUCAGGGGGGAGGAGUGGGGUGAGGGGGGUGCGGGGUAUAUGGGGACCUCAUAUUUUUUUAAUGUAAUAUUAAAAAAAAAAGAUCCUCC
rnacentral:snRNA from 1 species